rnacentral:rRNA from 1 species
CUUAGCGGCCAUAGCGCGGUGGUCCCACCUGAUCCCAUGCCGAACUCAGAAGUGAAACGCCGUAGCGCCGAUGGU